UAUAACUAACUAUUAAUAGAAUAUCCUCACAGGCUGGAGUACAUGGUCUCUGUCCUGACACCACACAUCUGUGAAGAGACUAGGAGGAAGCUGUCUACACUGUCCGUCUUUGUACUGGAGACUCAAACAGAGGAAACACCCAUCAAAGCUGAAGGCUCUCAGUGACUUUGUGGCAACACGGAAGCGGGCCAUGGAACUACCUGAAAUCCCAAGUUCUCCUAGGCGGAGAGCCGGCCGCUGCCGUGACCUGACCACAGAUAAGCAAAGGAAAACGGAUGGAUUGAAGCAUGGGAGACUUCCAGCAGUCGAGCAGGACUUCUACCAGACAGGUUAUUACACAGAUGACCGGGGUCACACUGGCCUACUGCAGUGUCUACAGUUCCACGAGCCCUGGUUGUCAUGAAGGCAUCCUGGGUACCGUUAGCGAUUUGUUGGUGUAGCCUCUCUGCCUCCAAGAUCUUCACCUCCACCCUUGCUAUGGAGGGCCAGCAGCUGCUGGUGGCUUACCCAUGUGCCCUGCUCUAUGGGCUCUUUGUACUGCUCACUGUAUUUUAACUAUCACCAGAUAAGAAAGCUAGAGGAAAAUCUUUUCUUGUUUUGUACCAACAAAGUUAAGGGGAGAAUGUUUUUCAUUGUUAUUGGUCAGUUUAGGUAAAGCAGUCAAAACCAUUUGGUGGUUGAGUGCAUGUUACAGAGCCUCAGCUCCACGCUGAAACUUGGAAAUACACACAAACACACAAAUCACCUUCAUAUGUUUGUAUGAAUGAACCAUAAGAGUUCUGACUUUUUGUUUGCAUAUGUACUCUAUGGUUUGAUUUAAUCUCUGUUCUAUUUAGAUUUUGUUUUAUGAAGUCCUUACACUAUUUUUAACACUUAGAUGGUGAAUAUUUGACUUUAUUUAUUCUGUUCACUAAGAUUUAAUAAAUUAAGAGUUUCCAAGA